UAUUUGUAUGGAGCCUGCGCAAGGAUGACACACAAAUUCGUGAAGCGUUCCAUAUUUUU
rnacentral:snRNA from 1 species